GAUGAACGCUAGCGACAGGCCUAACACAUGCAAGUCGAGGGGCAGCACAUGAGUAGCAAUACGAUGGUGGCGACCGGCGCACGGGUGAGUAACACGUAUGCAACCUGCCUGUAAGAGGGGAAUAACCCGGAGAAAUUCGGACUAAUACCGCAUAAUACCACGAGACUGCAUGGUUUUGUGGUUAAACAUUUAUGGCUUACAGAUGGGCAUGCGUAUGAUUAGAUAGUUGGUAGGGUAACGGCCUACCAAGUCUACGAUCAUUAGGGGUUCUGAGAGGAAGGUCCCCCACACUGGUACUGAGACACGGACCAGACUCCUACGGGAGGCAGCAGUGAGGAAUAUUGCGCAAUGGACGGAAGUCUGACGCAGCGACGCCGCGUGAGCGACGAAGGCCUUCGGUCGUAAAGCUCUGUUCUUGGGGUACGGAAUAAAAUAGACGGUACCCAACGGAGAAAGACCCCGGCCUAACUACGUGCCAGCAGCCGCGGAAACGUACUACUG
rnacentral:rRNA from 1 species